UGAUCCUGGCUCAGGAUGAACGCUAGCGGCAGGCCUAACACAUGCAAGUCGAGGGGUAUAGGGAGCUUGCUCCCUAGAGACCGGCGCACGGGUGCGUAACGCGUAUGCAAUCUGCCCUCUACAGGGGAAUAGCCCAGGGAAACUUGGAUUAAUGCCCCAUAGUAUUAAGGAACGGCAUUGUUCCUUAAUUAAAGAUUUAUCGGUAGGGGAUGAGCAUGCGUACCAUUAGCUAGUUGGUGUGGUAACGGCACACCAAGGCUACGAUGGUUAGGGGCCCUGAGAGGGGGAUCCCCCACACUGGUACUGAGACACGGACCAGACUCCUACGGGAGGCAGCAGUGAGGAAUAUUGGACAAUGGGCGGGAGCCUGAUCCAGCCAUGCCGCGUGCAGGAAGACUGCCCUAUGGGUUGUAAACUGCUUUUUUACGGGAAGAAACACCCCCACGUGUGGGGGCUUGACGGUACCGUACGAAUAAGGAUCGGCUUACUCCGUGCCAGCAGCCGCGGUAAUACGGAGGAUCCGAGCGUUAUCCGGAAUCAUUGGGUUUAAAGGGUCCGUAGGCGGGCGUCUAAGUCAGUGGUGAAAUUCUGCAGCUCAACUGUAGAACUGCCAUUGAUACUGGUCGCCUUGAAUCGUUGUGAAGUGGCUAGAAUAUGUAGUGUAGCGGUGAAAUGCUUAGAUAUUACAUAGAAUACCGAUUGCGAAGGCAGGUCACUAACAACGCAUUGACGCUGAUGGACGAAAGCGUGGGAGCGAACAGGAUUAGAUACCCUGGUAGUCCACGCCGUGAACGAUGGAUACUAGCUGUCCGGCGCACAUUGGUGUGCUGGGUGGCCAAGCGAAAGUGAUAAGUAUCCCACCUGGGGAGUACGUUCGCAAGAAUGAAACUCAAAGGAAUUGACGGGGGCCCGCACAAGCGGUGGAGCAUGUGGUUUAAUUCGAUGAUACGCGAGGAACCUUACCAGGGCUUAAAUGUAGUCUGACAGGAUUGGAAACAGUCUUUUCUUCGGACAGAUUACAAGGUGCUGCAUGGUUGUCGUCAGCUCGUGCCGUGAGGUGUCAGGUUAAGUCCUAUAACGAGCGCAACCCCUGUUGUUAGUUGCCAGCGAGUCAUGUCGGGAACUCUAACAAGACUGCCGGUGCAAACCGUGAGGAAGGUGGGGAUGACGUCAAAUCAUCACGGCCCUUACGUCCUGGGCCACACACGUGCUACAAUGGCAGGUACAAUGGGCAGCCACUGCGCAAGCAGGAGCGAAUCCACAAAACCUGUCUCAGUUCGGAUCGGGGUCUGCAACUCGACCCCGUGAAGCUGGAAUCGCUAGUAGUCGGAUAUCAGCCAUAAUCCGGUGAAUACGUUCCCGGGCCUUGUAC
rnacentral:rRNA from 1 species